rnacentral:rRNA from 1 species
GACGAACGCUGGCGGCGUGCCUAAUACAUGCAAGUAGGACGCAGUUGCGAACGGGUGAGUAACGCGUAGGUAACUACCUAUUAGAGGGGGAUAACUAUUGGAAACGAUAGCUCAUACCGCAUACUAGUAUAUGGACCUGCGUUGUAUUAGCUAGUAGGUAGUGUAAUGGCCUACCUAGGCAACGAUACAUAGCCGACGUGAGAGGGGGAACGGCCAAAAUGGGCAUGGGACACGGCCCAGACUCCGACGGGAGGCAGCAGUAGGGAAUCGUGGGAAAUGGGGGGAACCCUGACCGAGGAACGCCGCGUGAGUGAAGAAGGUUUUCGGAUCGUAAAGCUCUGUUGUUAAGGAAGCGGUACUUAACCAGAAAGGGACGGCUAACUACGUGCCAGCAGCCGCGGUAAUAC